CACGUAGGGCGCAAGCGUUGUCCGGAAUUAUUGGGCGUAAAGAGCUCGUAGGCGGACUGUCACGUCUGCUGUGAAAAGCUAGGGCUUAACCCUGGCCUUGCAGUGGAUACGGGCAGACUAGAGGUAGGUAGGGGAGAAUGGAAUUCCCGGUGUAGCGGUGAAAUGCGCAGAUAUCAGGAGGAACACCUGUGGCGAAAGCGGCUCACUGGACCAUAACUGACGCUGAUGCACGAAAGCUAGGGGAGCAAACAGG
rnacentral:rRNA from 1 species